UGCCCUGUAGUAUAUUCAACUAAUACUGUAAACUGCAACUUUACCAAAGCAACAGCCAGGACA
rnacentral:tRNA from 1 species